rnacentral:rRNA from 1 species
CAGCAGCCACGGUAAUACGUAGGUCCCGAGCGUUGUCCGGAUUUAUUGGGUGUAAAGCGAGCGCAGGCGGUUAGAUAAGUCUGAAGUUAAAGGCAUUGGCUCAACCAAUGUAUGCUUUGGAAACUGUUAGACUUGAGUGCAGAAGGGGAGAGUGGAAUUCCAUGUGUAGCGGUGAAAUGCGUAGAUAUAUGGAGGAACACCAGUGGCGAAAGCGGCUCUCUGGUCUGUCACUGACGCCGAGGCUCGAAAGCGUGGGUAGCGAACAGGAUUAGAUACCCGCGUAGUCCCUGUCUCUUAUACA